AUUGAACGCUGGCGGCAUGCCUUACACAUGCAAGUCGAACGGCAGCGGGGGAGAAGCUUGCUUUUCCUGCCGGCGAGUGGCGAACGGGUGAGUAAUACAUCGGAACGUGCCCUGUAGUGGGGGAUAACUAGUCGAAAGAUUAGCUAAUACCGCAUACGACCUGAGGGUGAAAGUGGGGGACCGCAAGGCCUCAUGCUAUAGGAGCGGCCGAUGUCUGAUUAGCUAGUUGGUGGGGUAAAGGCCUACCAAGGCGACGAUCAGUAGCUGGUCUGAGAGGACGGUCAGCCACACUGGGACUGAGACACGGCCCAGACUCCUACGGGAGGCAGCAGUUGGGAAUUUUGGACAAUGGGCGAAAGCCUGAUCCAGCAAUGCCGCGUGUGUGAAGAAGGCCUUCGGGUUGUAAAGCACUUUUGUCCGGAAAGAAAUGGCUCUGGUUAAUACCUGGGGUCGAUGACGGUACCGGAAGAAUAAGGACCGGCUAACUACGUGCCAGCCGCCGCAGUAA
rnacentral:rRNA from 1 species